GAUGAACGCUAGCGGCAGGCUUAAUACAUGCAAGUCGUGGGGCAGCAUGAGUAGCAAUACUUGAUGGCGACCGGCAAACGGGUGCGGAACACGUACACAACCUUCCGAUAAGUGGGGAAUAGCCCAGAGAAAUUUGGAUUAAUACCCCGUAACAUAUAGAGUAGGCAUCUUCUUUAUAUUAUAGCUUCGGCGCUUAUUGAUGGGUGUGCGUCUGAUUAGGUAGUUGGCGGGGUAACGGCCCACCAAGCCUACGAUCAGUAGCUGGUGUGAGAGCAUGAUCAGCCACACGGGCACUGAGAAACGGGCCCGACUCCUACGGGAGGCAGCAGUAAGGAAUAUUGGACAAUGGGCGAAGGCCUGAUCCAGCCAUGCCGCGUGAAGGAUUAAGGUCCUCUGGAUUGUAAACUUCUUUUAUUUGGGACGAAAAAAGGGAAUUCUUUCCCACUUGACGGUACCAAGUGAAUAAGCACCGGCUAACUCCGUGCCAGCCGCCGCGGUAA
rnacentral:rRNA from 1 species